UACGUAGGGUGCGAGCGUUAAUCGGAAUUACUGGGCGUAAAGUGUGCGCAGGCGGCCGCGCAAGUCGAGUGUGAAAGCCCCGGGCUUAACUUGGGAAUUGCGCUCGAAACUACGUGGCUGGAGUGUGGCAGAGGAAGGUGGAAUUCCAGGUGUAGCGGUGAAAUGCGUAGAGAUCUGGAAGGAACACCGAUGGCGAAGGCAGCCUUCUGGGCCAACACUGACGCGUCAUGCACGAAAGCGUGGGGAGCAAACAGG
rnacentral:rRNA from 1 species